UGGCUCUCGCAUCGAUGAAGAACGCAGCAAAGCGCGAAAUGUAAUGUGAAUUGCAGAAUUCAGUGAAUCAUCGAAUCUUUGAACGCAUCUUGCGCUCUUGGGUCAUUCCUAAGAGCAUGCUUGUUUGAGUAACGGAAAAGCUCAACCCCGCUUUCUUUGUUGAGAGUAGACUAGGGUUAGGAUUGUGACAGCUCUCUUGUGCAAACAAAAGUCUGUCGAAAUACAAGCGGCCGAACUUGAAACUUGUGCGAGCCUCCCGGCUAACUUUUCGUUGUAUAACUAUUUGUCUCGAUCAGUUUAAUGCACUAGCUUUCGAUCACAGUAGGCUUUGAUAAUUUGAGCUCUUUUAAGAACUCUAUUUUUAUUGCUUGUUCUCAAAUCAAGUAGGACUACCCGCUGA
rnacentral:misc_RNA from 1 species